UCAGGUGUGGGGAGAAGCUGCGGCAGCCGAGAGCUGCGUGUCAGAGGCCCCGGGUUUUCCCCACAG
ensembl:miRNA Mir7003 microRNA 7003